ACUAAAUAGUGCAUUGAGCCGCGUUCCUGAAAAGCAAGCGGGACCUAACAGCUCUCACACAAGCAGUCCUCAGGACUUGUAGGAUGGUUUAUCAACAUCUGAUCUAAGGGAUGAUCUUCAGCUGGAGCAAGUCACUGUAGCUCAGUUAACAUCAAUGAACUGCACUGGUUUUACAUAUCCAAAAGUCAGGCCUCUGCAACACCUAAUAUCACAAAGGAAACUCUUAAAAACAAGGCACAGAGCUGUUGGUCGCUGAUGUCUUCCUGGGGACAGUCUCUGUGACAGCCAAGGAACUAGGAAUCUCCCGAUGCCGUUAUAACUUCUU